ACGAUGUCGAUUUGGAGGUUGUGCCCUUGAGGCGUGGCUUCCGGAGCUAACGCGUUAAAUCGACCGCCUGGGGAGUACGGCCGCAAGGUUAAAACUCAAAUGAAUUGACGGGGGCCCGCACAAGCGGUGGAGCAUGUGGUUUAAUUCGAUGCAACGCGAAGAACCUUACCUACUCUUGACAUCCAGAGAACUUUCCAGAGAUGGAUUGGUGCCUUCGGGAACUCUGAGACAGGUGCUGCAUGGCUGUCGUCAGCUCGUGUUGUGAAAUGUUGGGUUAAGUCCCGCAACGAGCGCAACCCUUAUCCUUUGUUGCCAGCGGUUCGGCCGGGAACUCAAAGGAGACUGCCAGUGAUAAACUGGAGGAAGGUGGGGAUGACGUCAAGUCAUCAUGGCCCUUACGAGUAGGGCUACACACGUGCUACAAUGGCAUAUACAAAGAGAAGCGACCUCGCGAGAGCAAGCGGACCUCAUAAAGUAUGUCGUAGUCCGGAUUGGAGUCUGCAACUCGACUCCAUGAAGUCGGAAUCGCUAGUAAUCGUAGAUCAGAAUGCUACGGUGAAUACGUUCCCGGGCCUUGUACACACCGCCCGUCACACCAUGGGAGUGGGUUGCAAAAGAAGUAGGUAGCUUAACCUUCGGGAGGGCGCUUACCACUUUGUGAUUCAUGACUGGGGUGAAGUCGUAACAAGGUAACCGUAGGGGAACCUGC
rnacentral:rRNA from 1 species